rnacentral:lncRNA from 1 species
AGUGUUCAAGAAAUUAAGGUCUAUGAUGAAUAUAGAUAGCUUAGAGACAAUGAAUUAGAUGGUGUGUUGAAUAGUAAUUCCUUGUGUUGAAGCAGGUUGCUCGACAGAGGUAAGGAAAAGAUAGAAGGAUUUAGAUUGAAAUGUCGAAGCAUGUUGCUUGACAGAGAUAUUGAAUUAGGAUUAUUUUAUAAUUUUAGUUGAAUUAGGUUAGUUGGAGUGUUGCUUAGGGAGCAAG